rnacentral:piRNA from 1 species
UGUGUGUGUGUAGCUUUCCAGG